UCAGGGUUCGCAAGCCGGAAACUUAAAGGAACCUGACGAAACGGCUACCACAUCCAAGGAAGGCAGCAGGUCGAUUCCGGAGAAGGAGCCUGAGAAACGGCUACUACAUCCAAGGAAGGCAACAGGCGCGCAAAUUACCCAAUCUAGACAGUAGGAGGUGGUGAAGAGAAUUACUAAGUGGUGGUUCAAUGAACUACCAACUUGGAAUGGACGUAACUUAAGCAAUUCGUUGAGAAACAACUGGAGGGCAAGUCCUGGUGCCAGCAGCCGCGGUAAUUCCAGCUCCAGUAGUUUGCUUUAAAGUUGUUGCGUUUAAAACGCUCGUAGUUGGAUCACGCAACAGUGUACGGUAAUCUAUUCAUUUGGCUGGAAUUUUUCGAGUGUUCAUCGAAAGAUGACGCUCAAAGUCUAGACUGUGAUAGAUAUAAAAGCCGGCCACUGUUAAUUGCACGUGAGAUGGAUUGUUGACCUUUAGUGAGUCGGUAAUCCUGUCUUGCGGAGUGUGCCUUGAAUAAAACAGAGUGCUUAAAGCAGGUUUACGCCUGAAUGUUAUAGCAUGGAACGAACAAUAGUGUAUUAGUACAUGGUUUUCGGUAGCGAUAGAUCUAUGGUUUGUCGUUGUUGGGGACGUGUACAUCACCCACCAAAAUAUGGCUGUUGGUUCCAUAUACGGUGAUGAUUAAAAGGAGCGGUUGGGGGCAUCGGUAUUUGGCCGCGAGAGGUGAAAUUCUUGGACCGGCCAAGGACUAACAAAUGCAAAGGCACUUGUCUAGACCGUUUCCAUUAAUCAAGAACGAAAGUGGGAGGUUCGAAGACGAUCAGAUACCGUCCUAGUUCCCACGCGCAUAUAUGCCGACCUGGGAUCAGUUUAGAGAUGCUACAAGCUCUAAAUUGGUCCCCCUGGGAAACCUCAAGUUUUUCGGUUACGGGGAGAGUAUGGUCGCAAGGCUGAAACUUAAAGGAAUUGACGGAAGGGCACCACCAGGGGUGGAGCCUGCGGCUUAAUUUGACUCAACACGGGGAAACUUACCUGGUCCGGACAUCGAUAGGCUCCCUUCGGUCUAGCAAUGCUUUAUUUUUUUAAAUAACGUAUUGUAUCAUGGAUGGCCGUUCUUAGUUCAUCUGUCAGCUUAAUUGCGGUAACGAACGAGACCACAGUCUCCAUUUAAGAAACAGAAAAAGAUGAUUUACUGCCGGACUUGUCUGACAGUUAAAUUGUUGUUGGUCAAGAGUGCGAUUGCAUGAUGACGUUGCCGAGGAGCAAUCUGAAGUGGCGAAGUUGUGCGGUUGAGCUUUUGCCUUUCUGUCGAGCAGUAGCUGGUAUCUACUAGUUGCUGCCUUCUGGAGAGACAACGAGGUAUAAACAAGCUCGAGGAAGAGUGGCUAUAACAGGUCAGUGAUGCCCUUCGAUGUUCAGGGCUGCACGCGCGCUACAAUGAUAACGACAACGAGUAUCCGCGUCGAAAGACGUAGGUAAUCUUUAAUCGUUAUCGUGAUGGGGAUUGACCGUUGUAAUUAUCGGUCAUGAAAGAGGAAUCCCUAGUAUGCGUAUUUUAUUAGAAUGUGCAGAUUGAGUCCCUGCCCUUUGUACACACCGCCCGUCGCUACUACCGAGUGAAUGGUGUCAUGAUGCCCUGGGACUGGACGUCUGGCGGGAUUAACCUCUUGCAAGAUGCUAGAACGUGCGAUUCAUGCAGAUCGCGCGGAUUGCGUCCCUGCCCUUUGUACACACCGCCCGUCGCUACUACCG
rnacentral:rRNA from 1 species